AUCGAAAGCUUGCUUUUGAUGGGCGUCGACCGGCGCACGGGUGAGUAACGCGUAUCCAACCUGCCCACCACUUGGGGAUAACCUUGCGAAAGUAAGACUAAUACCCAAUGACGUCUCUAGAAGACAUCUGAAGGAGAUUAAAGAUUUAUCGGUGAUGGAUGGGGAUGCGUCUGAUUAGCUUGUUGGCGGGGUAACGGCCCACCAAGGCAACGAUCAGUAGGGGUUCUGAGAGGAAGGUCCCCCACAUUGGAACUGAGACACGGUCCAAACUCCUACGGGAGGCAGCAGUGAGGAAUAUUGGUCAAUGGACGAGAGUCUGAACCAGCCAAGUAGCGUGCAGGAUGACGGCCCUAUGGGUUGUAAACUGCUUUUAUAAGGGAAUAAAGUGAGUCUCGUGAGACUUUUUGCAUGUACCUUAUGAAUAAGGACCGGCUAAUUCCGUGCCAGCAGCCGCGGUAAUACGGAAGGUCCGGGCGUUAUCCGGAUUUAUUGGGUUUAAAGGGAGCGUAGGCCGGAGAUUAAGCGUGUUGUGAAAUGUCGGGGCUCAACCUGGGCAUUGCAGCGCGAACUGGCAGACUUGAGUGCGCGGGAAGUAGGCGGAAUUCGUCGUGUAGCGGUGAAAUGCUUAGAUAUGACGAAGAACUCCGAUUGCGAAGGCAGCCUGCUGUAGCGUAACUGACGCUGAAGCUCGAAAGCGUGGGUAUCGAACAGGAUUAGAUACCCUGGUAGUCCACGCGGUAAACGAUGGAUGCUCGCUGUUUGCGUCUGACGUAAGCGGCCAAGCGAAAGCGUUAAGCAUCCCACCUGG
rnacentral:rRNA from 1 species